rnacentral:rRNA from 1 species
UACGUAGGUGGCAAGCGUUGUCCGGAAUUAUUGGGCGUAAAGCGCGCGCAGGCGGUCCUUUUAAGUCUGAUGUGAAAGCCCACGGCUCAACCGUGGAGGGUCAUUGGAAACUGGGGGGACUUGAGUACAGAAGAGAAGAGUGGAAUUCCACGUGUAGCGGUGAAAUGCGUAGAGAUGUGGAGGAACACCAGUGGCGAAGGCGACUCUUUGGUCUGUAACUGACGCUGAGGCGCGAAAGCGUGGGGAGCAAACAGG